CGGAGGGUGCGAGCGUUGUUCGGAAUUACUGGGCGUAAAGCGCGUGUAGGCGGCCUUUUAAGUCUGAUGUGAAAGCCCGGGGCUCACCCCCGGAAGUGCAUCGGAUACUGGGAGGCUCGAGUACCGGAGAGGAGGGUGGAAUUCCUGGUGUAGCGGUGAAAUGCGUAGAUAUCAGGAGGAACACCGGUGGCGAAGGCGGCCCUCUGGACGGAUACUGACGCUGAGACGCGAAAGCGUGGGGAGCAAACAGGAUUAGAUACCCUGGUAGUCCACGCUGUAAACGAUGGACACUAGGUGCUUGGGGUAUUGACCCCCUGGGUGCCGCAGCUAACGCAUUAAGUGUCCCGCCUGGGGAAUACGGCCGCAAGGUUA
rnacentral:rRNA from 1 species